rnacentral:other from 1 species
GAUUUCCUGCGGUGAACGAUGUUUAUUAAAGGACUCUCGGCCCUUAACUUAUCAAUCGGGGAUCAAAGUCUGCAUUGGUUUUGAGCAUUACCUUAUUUGGGAAGCCUGCCCCAAUGCGUCAGAACCCACUUUAAUAGCUCUGGCCUGAGAGCAUUAAUAAAUAACGUCAUCUGCGGGGGGUCU